CCAAAAAGGAUAAAAUCCUUCCUGAUAGAUGGAUGUAAUUUGUAAUAGGUUUUGUAGAAUGUGGGUGAAUUAGUGUGUUAGAAAGCAGGGGUGAAGCUCGAGAAGCAUAUAACCAUAGAGAUAGUAACCUUGGCAUCAUAAAGCCCGAUGGAAUUCUAGUCUUCAGCCCCAGUGACUGGUGUUCUGGCCCAACCUUCUUGCCUUCUGCUCACAAUACUUAAGGAAGGGAGUGAGAAGGAAGCAUGUAGCUGUCAUGUUCCAUUUAUUGGUGUGCCCAAAGGUUGUAGAGAAGUUGGAAAUCAAAACCAGUGGGCCAAUGUCUGCUAUCAGUUAUCCCUGUGCAAAUCCGGAGAUAUCUGCUGGAGCCAGCCUCAUCGCAGAAAGCUGGAAAGUGACUCAGAGGGAAGCAGCCUACUUCAGGAAGAGAGUGGCUGGAUGGCAGUGAUAGUACGCUUUGACUGGAUAUUUCCUGGCUAACACUGACCUAGACAUGACUGGAUGUCCUGCAAAGUGAUGAAUGAUUACAUCAGAUAAGUAAACCUUGUGAUGACUUCCUUCUGCCUUGGGCACCAAAGUCUUGAUGGGUUACACAGGAAAAAUGCCUUGCCUCAGAGAGAAUCAUCUAAGUAAGCAUCUAAGAUUAGUGAAGAAUGAAGUAGGAGAGAAAAACAGGUCAACAUCCUCUUUCUGGGACUGAAGCAGAAGCCUGCACAAGAAAGAACUUACAUCCGUUCAUGUGAUGAGCAGGAUGUUUGUCCUGGAGGAUUCAGAUCUCUGGAACCCAUAUCCUGAGGGAACCUGGAUCAAGAACAAGCUACAGCUUUCUUGCAGCUGUCUUUUUAUGUGAUAUCACUAGAAGUUUUAUAUUUUCUAUGGUCUUUCAGUCUUCACUCUACUACUUCUGGACUUCUCCAAGAGUACUAUCUACCCAACUGUCUCUUCUUAAAUCUAGGAGGAGUUUUAAUAUCUUAUUCCAAAUUUACAUAUGUAUAAUUCUAAAUAUAACAUUUGAAAAAUAGAAUACCUGGCCUGGAGCUAUGGAUACUCCUUCAAUAUGAUGCCCUCCUGAAUCUGGCACUGCUCUAAAGCUGUAGUGGAAGUAUAGUGAUUUAAAUUCUCUUCAACUCUGUACUUUAGCCAUCCAUUGAGUGCCACAAUCUAGAAGUGUAUAUGUAGGGCAUUAACUGCAGAAGAAACCAUUGUAAUAUCAGUGUGCUGCUGAACUGGAAAGGUUGAGAUGGUUAGUAAAGCAAGUUGCACUAGAGAGACCAUUGAUCAUAUUUAGCAGCUGUUUUACAAAUAGCAAGCUAGUAACUUGUGCCCAGUCUUGCAAAAUAUCUUCAUCAACUGCUUUGUUUUUUCUUUUUCUUUUCUUUUCUACAAAGAAUCCCAUUAAAGUUACUGAGAAUUUGCACUUUUAGGAGAAUUAUUUAAUGGAGGGUGGUAUCUCUAAAAGCUAUAUUAAGUUAUCAGGCUAUCAAAAAGCAAAUAACAUUCACACUAUUUGUUUGGAGACAGCACCAUAGAAACAAUUUGGUUUUUCCUCCCUCUCUUCCAUCUCUCUAUAGUCAUCAUCUCCAACUCUUUCCUUCCAUUCCCCUUCAACUUUUCAACAACUUUUUCUGUGCACUCUCCUAACGAAUUUUGGAUCAUCUUAGAAAGUGAACCUUUCUCUGCUGCAGGUUUGGUCUGCUCAUACUGCCAGCUAUCUGCCACCACUGCUUAAUCAUGCAACUUCCUCCUCUGCAACUUGUCUGUCCUGUUCAUCCAAAUCUUUUCACUCAGAGCAGCAAUAGUGAUUUGAUUAACUGGUGUGCUGGCAGAAAUUACUAAAGGUAUCUGUCUGGAUGCUGCUGUGAUAUGCACGUGGCUCUGAUAUCUUUAAUUUUUGCUACACUUUGCUUUGUUGUUUGCUUGUUUGUUUAAAAUGCCCUUCUGUUAUAUUUGCAGUGAUGAAAAAUAAACUAACUGGCAUCCAGUUCUGAAACUGUGGUGUUGGUGGGGGAGGGCUGCCCACUUGAAAACAAGCAAGAAGUCUUACAAAUAUUUGGACUAAUUAAUUCACCAGCUUUUCUUUACAGAACUCUUUUGUGAUAAUAAAGCCAUUCAUUGACCAAGAGAGUACAUUGUCCAUUUAGUUACUGUUUUGUAUCUCAUGUCAAACAAAAGCCACUGCCUCCUACAACAGUAACAGCUGAAUAUUUUCACUACUUAUGCAGUUUUCUCUUCUAGCUGCUGGAUCGUCAAAAAUUCUAAUCAACUCUGAUCUAACACAAAGUACUACAUGGCAUUCAUCAUCUGUUUUAGCCUUUAAUGCACCAUGCAGGUUUUAAUCAAAGGCAUGCAACCAUUAGCAAAAAAGAAAGACAAGAAUUAUGACAGUGUCCUAAACAGACCUCUUAAGCUGACAUCACAGGCAGCAGAUAAAUUCAUCUCCCCUUGUCAAAUACAAAAACAGGCAAAUGGGAUGGGCCUUGCUUGAAAUAUUUGCAAGAGAGCACCACUGAGAUUUCAGGGCAAUGACUUCCAUUGUUUUUAGUACUAAGCAUUAAGGCUUAUUUGCUUGGCUUUCCUAUAUGUUGAAAGCAAGUGUUGGCACUCUCAGCUUGAUGUGUGGGGGCUGCUGGAUAAUCUCAUUGUUUGGGUGGGUGCCUGUAUCAUCCACUGUUGUGACAGGGAGUCAAGGGGUCUGGUAGUGAUUGGCAAAGCCUGACCCCAGCAUUUUCCUUAUGGCAGACAGGUCUCCUGAUUUCUCAUCUCUUCCUAAAUGAACUCUGUUAGUCAUCUCUCCUCUAUAGCACAAGACUAGGUAAGGCGCUGCUGCUUGCGUGUAGAACAGAACAGGACAGUUCUGUUGAAAGGGACCUUCAAAGAUCAAGUCCAGCUACCUGACCCCUUCAGAGCUAACCAAAAGUUAAAGCACAUUAAUGAGGGCAUUGUUCCAGUGACUCUUGAACACUGACAGGCACAGGGCAUCAAACACCUCUCCAGGAAGCCUUCUCCAGUGUUUGAUCACCCUCGUGGCACAGAAAUGUUCCCCAGUGCCCAGUCUGACCCUCCCCUUUCAGCUCUGUGCCAUUUCCAUCAGUGACCAGAAGCAGAGCCUGCCACUUUUCUGCUCCCCCUCCUCACAGAGCUGCAGAGAUCAAUGAUGUCACCUUUGUGCCUCCUCCAGCCUGAACAGUUCAGGGAUCCUCAGCCUUUUCUCACAGGACACACCUACUAACUCUGUUGUCAGCUUUGGUGCCUCCUUUGGAAGCUUUCAAGGACCUUAACACCCUUUUUAUACUGUGGAGCCCAGAACUGAGCACAGUAUUCAAGGUGAGGUUGCACCAUCACUGAAUAGAGUGGGAUAACCACCUCUUUUGACCAGCUGUCUGUGCUGUGUUUAAUGCACCCCAAAAUGUGGUUUGCCUCUUGGCUACUAAGCAUACUGCUGUCUCCUGAGCUGCUGUCACCUGCACCCCCAAUUCCCUCUCUGCUGAGCUGCUCUCCACCACUCUUGUCCCAUCUGUGCCUGUGUCCAACAUUGCUCUGUCCUGAGGUUUCUUAUUCGCAUACAGUCCUGGGUUUUCCUCCUGCAUAUAUCCUGGCAGGUUGCAGCUGGUGACUGCCAGUUUCUAGAUAAAGUGGCCUUUGUUUCUUGUUCUGGUUGACAGAGUAUGCUAUCAUGCUUUGAAUCAGCUUGACAUGUGGGGGAGAGCUGGUUCAUGCUGCAGAGUUCCUUCAUUUGUGCCUAGCUGAAGGAAGGGUGAAGGUUGUCUUUUUGGAGAGGGAAGCAGACUGCAGGUACAGCAGUGUGGUCUCCCUCCUGCCACACUCAUGAAUGUGACUUGUUGAGAGGGGCUGCAUGAGGAUGAAUUACCAAACAUUCCCAUGUGCAUCCUAGGGAAAGCUACCUUCAUAGGGGUACAGGUUGGGCUACCCUAGGGACUGCUGCUGUUUGCUCAGACUUCUUUUUCCUUUUACUAUUCUUCUCAGUUCUGGUGUUGGCAGAGCUGUUUCAGGUCCCACCUUACAAAUAAGUGGCUACGAUCUGUGCCAGCUCGUGGCAUUUCCUUGAAGCCAUGAUAGCAACAGGAAAUGAAGGCACACAUCGCUCUCUAGCUGGUUCAUAGCAGGGUGGGAAGCUGAUAGCCACGCAGGGAGCCUGUUGUGAGUGGGGAGUCACUGUUUAAAUCAGCGAUCAAGGGGUCUUUGAGCUUGAGAAGCCAUUUAAAUGGUACAUGGGUGGAAUUCUUCCUCAAGCUUGCUCACGCAGUGUAUGAACAUGGUGGAAUAUGUUUGUUGAUUAGGAGGUAUUCAACAGAAUUUCCCCACAUCAUGGUAAAUGUUGAGGAAAGUGCUGUGGGCUCAAUUCCCUCUUCUAAAUCGUUGCCGCUAGUGGGAGCUGGCCCUGGACAGACAGUAGAAUUGGUCUUUCUCCUGUGUCAUCUGGGGGCUGUGACCUGAUUUUGAUCACACCACAUUCAGUGCAUAACCUCCUGUGGAGGCUGGUGUUCAGUCCCACUGCCAGGCCUUCCUCACUGCACUCUG